CCAUCAACUUUGAUAUACCAAAGUUAAAAUCACAAUGAUCUUACACAAAUAUUUUGAUGUGUCACAGAAUUAUAAUGGUAGUUUAUUGGUCAAGUUAGAGUUAAAAAGGAUUUGCAUUUUGCAGAACGGGUUUAUAACGCCAUGACGCAUGAAAAUUUCACGUUGAGUGGCAAAAUUAAAUUAAUAAGCGAUACUAAUCUGGCUCUGCAUCGUGUUUCAUGCCAUGUCCUCAGAGGCGGAUCUAGAAAAUAUUGCAACAUCGAGGACACUAUUAAAUAACAGAAUUUUCAACCAAAAAUGCAUGAGGCAUUAAAAAUCUCUUUAAAUAAGACCAUUUGAGUUUCUUGAUUUUCAAUAAUACGAAUGAAAGUAAAACUUAUGUGUGUGGCACUUACCCCGCCUAGGUCUGCUCCUGAACUUUUCAUCACGUCGUUUUCCAAUUAUACGUUUAUGUUCUUAAAAUGCAUGUCGGUUGAUUCAUGCUCUCUUGUUGAUUAUAUCAAGGGAAAUUUAUCGUAUGACGUUCAAACAAUUAUAAAUUAAAUAUAUGAUCAAAUUGACUUAGUUUUUCUAUAUACUCUUUGUAUUUUGUGUGUAUUAUUACCGAAUUACCUCCACAUCAACCAGUGCAAACUGCUGUGAACAUAAUUUUAAAUUAGUUAUAAUUUUGUUAGAAAGUGGUGUCGUGACAACUGCAGAAUCACACCCAAGCACAAAAUAACUUUCUCUUUGUAUCUUUUGAGAAGUUGAAUAGUUACAGUCAGAUAUUCACUCCACAUAAACUUUCACCUCCUCCCAUCCCUGUGCGAUUUUCUCCACCCAUAGUUUCAGCGGCGUGCAUCCCAGCGGUCCCAAGAAUAAGAAGAUUUUGUUUAUAAAGGGUAUUUCUUUUGGAGAUUUUUCUGUUCAGUGCUUGCAAAAUCGAUAAAGAGGAGCCGGCGAAGUAACAGACACAACGUCGAGAUGCUUCAACGAUUCACGUUCACAUCAGUGAUUCUUGGUAACUGUUUACACAUGUGCAAAUAGAAUGGACUAUUUGUUCUGUACUAUUUAUGAAUAUACUAUUCUAUUGUUUUUGUACGUAGAAGGUAAGUGUUCACAUUUUAAUAUUUGAGUUUAGUGAUUAUGAUUUACGGUUUAGUAUUUAGAGGGUGAAUGAGGUUGGAGUCAGCAUUACAUUUUGAUAUUUGAGUUUAUGGUUUAUAUGUAGAUUUAUGGUUUAGUAAUUAAAGUUUAAAGUUUAGUAUUUAGAGGGUGGAGGUGAGGUUGGGGUCAACAUUAUCUUUUUCUAUGUAAUCAUAGACAUUUCAUAGUUUCAUCAAUAUGUACUAUACUAUUUACAUAUUUUGUUUCAUUCUAUUUGAUGGUUGAACACUUGUGUUAUUAGUAUGUUAAAAUUAUAGUUUGAAUUUUAUUUAUUUUAUUAAUUUUAUAGUAAUAUACUAUUUUACAUUCAAUAUUCAAUUUAUUUAUUUAUAUACUUAAAUAAUACAAUAUAUAUGUAAAAUAAAUAUACACUCUAUUUGGUACUAUUUUAAAGAAUGUCUAUACUAGUGUUUUCUUCUUUUGUUAUUCUGUUAUUUGAAGUGAACAGUGGAGAUUUUAUAUGUCCAUCGGUGCACUCAUCAACGCCAUCUGUUACAUCUUCCUUUGACUCGUUACUCGGAAACAUGCUAAAUGUUACUCCCUCCGAUUUUUUUAGAAUUGAUUAAGAAAAUCAUUAAUUUUUAUAUUUUCUAAACAAAAACAUCAUUAAUUAUUUACCUAAUCACAAAUCAACCAAUAAUAAAAUAUAAGAUAUAUUAUCAUUGGUCAUAUAACAUUAAGUUUUAAUAAAUUUUACAUAGAAAACCGAAAACGUCAUAUAAUUUGGAACAUAAAAAUUUCUCUAAAACGACUUAUAUUAAAAAAACGGAUGGAUGGAGUAUUGAUUACGUUAUCUCAAAAUCAAUAUCAUUCACUUAAUUUACUUUGAGAUUUUAGUCAUUUGGUAAAUUAACCUUUAUAUCAACAAACAAAAAUAUAGAAAGGUCUUUUAAGAGUCUCUAUCUGAACAUUUCCGUAUGGAACAGUGAUUGUAUUAUUGGAUAAAGAUGUAUUUACAAAUCUUUACAUAUUUAUACAAAGCUCCAUCUGAUACAUUGAAUAUAUAUUCUUAAUAAACAAAAGAAGUGAAUUAGUACCGUUGGUCUAAUGGUUGAUUAAUAUUGUCAACUAGAUAUUAAUACGGUUUAAUUCCUAAAGAAUAUUCUUUACUAGUGGUUGGCCCGCCCUACGGGCGGAUGAGUUUACAUUAAAAUCAUUUUAUACUAAAAUGUAUUUUAAUUUUAUAAAUAUUUAAAAAUUACUUAAAAUUGAAUAUAAUAAAUAUAAUUUGUUUUCUAUUAGAUCAUAUAUAUUUAUUUUGUUAACAUUUGACUUUUGUUUAUAAUUCUUACAUGUUUGGAUUUGUAUUUUUUAUCAACUAUAAUUUUUGCAUUUGCGUGAGAUUAUAAGUGUAGUAUUUUAAUAUAUUUUUAAUUGUGUGUUAAAGUUUUAUGUUUGAUUGUAGUAUAUCUGAAUGUAUUAUAUUCGUGAUUAUGAGUGUGUUCCUAACAAUGUUUUUAUUCAAAACUUCCCUUAACCAAAUACUAAAAUCAUAUUGUUUUUGGCUAAUCAUGUUGUCUUUUUCUCGAUUUUUUUUGUUUAGUGCUAAUCAGAAAAUGUAUUCUUUUCUUUUUGUCAACAGAAGGAAAAGUGCAUUCUAGAACAUAAUCUAUAAUCUAUAAUGAUAAAGUAGACUUACCUCUCUCCUCCUUACGCCACAUCAUCAGGAAGGGAGGGGCAAAUCGAGACACGUCAUCACCCUACCAAAGAACCAUAUUUCCGUAUGCAACAAAAUAAACAAAUGAAACCAGACCACUAAAUUAAAGCAUAAAUUUACUAAGUCCAUUUGUACCCACUAAAUUAGAAAGUUAAUAAUAAGUUUACUAAACCCAAUAUGACUCACUAACUUAAAACCCCACUACGACGAUAGCAUAACCGUUGUGUAACGCUUUCGUCAUCAUUGAAACCAUGUCAUUAUGUUUCUCCUUUAACUCCCUUCGCCAGCGUUUCCACUACGUUGAUGUUAAUUACCUAUUUCUUUACUCCAUCCAAAUCCCUAAUUUACAAUAGUAUAAAUAGGGAUGAAGACCUCUCCAAAUCUCACAGCUUCACAAAAUUUAUUCAUGUUUCUCAUCAUGAUGGAGCUCUGGCCAACUGAACUGCAAUUUCAUGAAAAUCAAGUGUGUAGCCUACAUAUUCUGCAUUCCAUUCGUUCCAACCUCACGCUUUCAAAGACAUCAAACAAUAAUGUCCAAUGAAGAAACCAAAGCUCGAUAAAGUGGAUAUAGGACCCAAAACAGAGUUUCCCGAUAGAUCAAAGUGGGUGAGAGAAGCAGAGGUUGAAACCAGAAAUGGAGCCAUUGAUGCUGGCGUUUGAGAGAAACAUGGACUUCAGUCCGGUAAGAGACAAGAGAGAUGAAGGCACGUCACUGAAUCUGAUGUUAGGAGGCUUGGAGCUGAGAUUAAUCAAGGUCUUCAUUCUCACGAUUUUAAGCUACAGUAGAAGUAGAAAAGAUGAACAACGGAAUCUAGACUUUUAGUUUUGCCAUUAGAGAGGAAGUACACGUUUUAAGAGACAUUUAGAGAGUGAAAAGAGAAUCAAAAGGAUGGAAGAAGGCUUGAUAAAAAAAAAAGCUCGAUCAAAAAAGAAAAAGGAUGGAAAAAGGUAUUUUUUAAAUGGUCAAAGGAAUAGUGAUCAUAGACGAUAGAUCUGCAACAACGAGUCACGACCUUUCGUCUAUCACAGAUACAAACAACUCUAAUACUCCAUUUGUUCCUAAAUGUAUAAAAUGUUUUGAAAAAUAAUAAUGUUUCAAUAUAUAACAUGUUUUUAACCGGGGGUUCUAUCUCUGGUGUUAAAA